UACAGAGGGGGCAAGCGUUGUUCGGAAUUACUGGGCGUAAAGGGCGCGUAGGCGGCCUGCUAAGUCGAACGUGAAAUCCCUGGGCUCAACCCAGGAACUGCGUCCGAUACUGGUUGGCUUGAAUCCGGGAGAGGGACGUGGAAUUCCAGGUGUAGCGGUGAAAUGCGUAGAUAUCGUAAGGAAGACCAGUGGCGAAGGCGGGUCUCUGGACAGUUCCUGACGCUGAGGCACGAAGGUCAGGGGAGCAAACGGG
rnacentral:rRNA from 1 species